UACGUAGGGCGCAAGCGUUAUCCGGAAUUAUUGGGCGUAAAGAGCUCGUAGGCGGUUUGUCGCGUCUGCCGUGAAAGUCCGGGGCUCAACUCCGGAUCUGCGGUGGGUACGGGCAGACUAGAGUGAUGUAGGGGAGACUGGAAUUCCUGGUGUAGCGGUGGAAUGCGCAGAUAUCAGGAGGAACACCAGUGGCGAAGGCGGUUCUCUGGGCCUUACCUGACGCUGAGGAGCGAAAGCGUGGGGAGCAAACAGG
rnacentral:rRNA from 1 species